rnacentral:rRNA from 1 species
UACGAAGGGGGCUAGCGUUGCUCGGAAUCACUGGGCGUAAAGCGCACGUAGGCGGAUUGCUAAGUCAGGGGUGAAAUCCUGGAGCUCAACUCCAGAACUGCCUUUGAUACUGGUGAUCUUGAGUUCGGGAGAGGUGAGUGGAACUGCGAGUGUAGAGGUGAAAUUCGUAGAUAUUCGGAGGAACACCAGUGGCGAAGGCGGCUCACUGGUCCAUUACUGACGCUGAGGUGCGAAAGCGUGGGGAGCAAACAGG